rnacentral:rRNA from 1 species
CCUACGGGGGGCAGCAGUCGAGAAUCAUUCACAAUGGGGGAAACCCUGAUGGUGCGACGCCGCGUGGGGGAAUGAAGGUCUUCGGAUUGUAAACCCCUGUCAUGUGGGAGCAAAUUAAAAAGAUAGUACCACAAGAGGAAGAGACGGCUAACUCUGUGCCAGCAGCCGCGGUAAUACAGAGGUCUCAAGCGUUGUUCGGACUCACUGGGCGUACUGCGUGCGUAGGCUGUUUCGUAAGUCGUGUGUGAACGGCGCGGGCGCAACCCGCGGACGGCACAUGAUACUGCGAGACUAGAGUAAUGGAGGGGGAACCGGAAUGCUCGGUGUAGCAGUGAAAUGCGUAGAUAUCGAGAGGAACACUCGUGGCGAAGGCGGGUUCCUGGACAUUAACUGACGCUGAGGCACGAAGGCCAGGGGAGCGAAAGGGAUUAGAUACCCGAGUAGUC